rnacentral:misc_RNA from 1 species
GAUGAAGAACGUAGCGAAAUGCGAUAAGUAAUGUGAAUUGCAGAAUUCAGUGAAUCAUCGAAUCUUUGAACGCACAUUGCACCCCUCGGUAUUCCGGGGGGUAUACCUGUUCGAGCGUCAUUACACACCUCAAGCUCCGCUUGGUAUUGGGUUCCCGUCCGCUCGGACGCGCCCGAAACUCCUCGGCGGCGGCGCCUUUGCUUCAAGCGUAGUAAAAGAUUCCAUCUCCUCGCUUUGGAGGCGGAGGUUCCGCUCGCCGGACGACCACCCAUCCCUUUCUCAAAGGUUGACCUCGGAUCAGGUAGGGAUACCCGCUGAACUUAAGCAUAUCAAUAAGCGGAAGGA